AAAACAUGUCCUUUGGAUUAUUUAUAUAAGGUCUAACCUGUCCAAUGAGUAAUUGAAUGACCGCGGUAUUUUAACCGUGCUAAGGUAGCAUAAUCAUUUGUCUUUUGAUUGGAGGCUGGAAUGAAUGGUUGGACGAGACAUAAGCUUUCUUUAAUUUAUUAAAAGAACUUAAUUUUUUAGUUAAAAAGCUAAAAUUAUUUUAUAGGACGAGAAGACCCUAUAGAUCUUUAUGUAUAAUUUAAUUAUGUAAUUUAGGGAAUAUUUUAUUUUGAUUAAUUAAUAUAUUUGGUUGGGGUGACUGUAGAAUUUAAUGGACUUCUGUUAAUUUUAUUUCAUUAAUAAAUGUUUUAUGAUCCACUUAUAGUGAUUAAAAGAUUAAGUUACCUUAGGGAUAACAGCGUAAUUUUUUCGGAGAGUUCUUAUUGAUGAAGAAGUUUGCGACCUCGAUGUUGGAUUAAAAUAAGUGGUAGGCGCAGUAGCCUAUCAACUGGGUCUGUUCGACCUUUAAUUUUUUACAUGAUCUGA
rnacentral:rRNA from 1 species